rnacentral:rRNA from 1 species
CAGCCGCCACGGGAAUACGUAGGGGGCAAGCGUUAUCCGGAUUUACUGGGUGUAAAGGGAGCGCAGGCGGUGCGGCAAGUCUGAUGUGAAAGCCCGGGGCUCAACCCCGGGACUGCAUUGGAAACUGUCGUACUUGAGUAUCGGAGAGGUAAGUGGAAUUCCUAGUGUAGCGGUGAAAUGCGUAGAUAUUAGGAGGAACACCAGUGGCGAAGGCGGCUUACUGGACGAUAACUGACGCUGAGGCUCGAAAGCGUGGGGAGCAAACAGGAUUAGAUACCCCCGUAGUCCCUGUCUCUUAUAC